CUGUGGGCAGCGGGGCUGGAAGUGCGCGCGGAGACGCGGGUCCCACAGCGCGGGCGGCGAGCGACGCGGGCCGCAGAGGCAGGCACUGCUACCCCUCCCGAGGCCCAGUUAGGAAUUGGAGCAGAAGCUCUACAGGAAGAGAACAGGAGAACCUUUCCUUGACUUGGUCUGCAGUCUUUGCUCACAUCACCGAGUAGAGGAUUUUUCUCCUCUAUGGAACACACUGUACAGGCUGAGUAUGAGACAUUUCCUCUGUGGCUGCUCAUGAAGUCAUUUUCCUCACAGAAAUACUGCAUUAAACUGUCUUUAUGUUUACAUGUAUGAGCCACCUUGAAGAGAUUUUUGUGUGCAUUGUGAGUUUAAACUUCAGCUUUUAUUUGCUCCGUGUGGAUAUUGUUUCCUAGAACAUUUACUAGAAAUGCAUUUAUUAGAAAUGCAUCACACCAAUCUUCCCACAUGUACAUUGAGUAAAGAAAAGUAUUCAAAACCUUAGAAUGUUGUUACUGAUACUUUCAGUGAGACAGAACAACGCGGGUGACAGAGGGAGGAAAUAUUUGUCUGUGGAUCAGUCUGGGGACUCAGAAGUGAGCAGGUGAUUUGGAGCAGAGCUGAGAAGAGUCAUCUAUGGGAUGGCAGUGACAGGAAGGGCAGAGCACGGGGAGCUCCACAGGAGAGACGCGGCAGCCAGAAUGUGCUGCGGAGCAGCUCACUGAAGAGCACAUCCUCUCUGGAUGGUUUUGCGUAUCUGGGAUUUGUUCCAUGAAGUGUUUCCCCGGCCCAUGAGGUCCUGGCUAUCCGGAAGGAAUUCAGAACUCUUGGUGAAAGCUAGGAUGAGCCCUGGUGUUGAUCCACUGCACUGAAGAAAAGCAAAACAAAACCCUAAAGCUUCAUAUCAAAAAUACCCCGGGGACAUUGUCUCUCUCCACUCCCGAGGCCCCUGGCCAUUAGCAGGUGAGAUUCAGCCCAAGAAUGAGCAAGUGUGGAGUGGAGCAGGCUCCUCCUCGGGCUCAGAAAGCAGAAGGAAGGGAGCUGCUGGUCACCUGCCCUUCUCCAUCAUUUCACACCCACACCCAGAUUGGAUGCCAACUCCUGUCCCCACUCGCAUUUUGCAAGGAUCAGUGGGAUCCUGGAUACCAACAGUUCCCAGCAUUCAGGCAGGUAAACAUCGCAUCUCAGCUGUAUGGACUUCGUUACAACCAACCCUCGGGAACAGCUCAAGUUCUGAGACCGUCGUGCCCUGAGCAUGGAAAUAACCCUGACAGCACACUCCGGCUUGGAAGGGGAUCUCCUCUCAGCUGCGUCCCAGUGCAGACCUUGAUGUUGGCAUCCUCUGCACCAGGAUCCCUGCUCUGGACUGGCUACAUUGGCUGGACUACUUGAUUCUCUCCAUCUCAGUUCUGCAAAAGUCUACUUGGUAUUCUGUGAGGAUGAGAGAAUCUUGUGGACAGAGGGAUGAGUUGGAGCUACACACCAGGAGGCUGUCAGGUAGUACAUGACGUGUGCAGUUGGCAUCGAUGGACCCUGAGAGUACAUUUUCCAUUCACAUGUGUACAUGUGGAUCUGAUCUUCUCUUUAUGACCUCUCACAUGUUCUUUAAUAUUCUCAUUCAACUCCCUUGAAUCUCUCGUGUUGAGUAAUUUGUGUCCAUUUGGAUUUCUUUUCCUACAUAGCAGCAAUUGCUUAUAUUUUUAACUUGUGGGAUAUUAAUA
rnacentral:lncRNA from 1 species